rnacentral:tRNA from 1 species
AGGAUUUUAAGUUAAUUGAAACUAAAGGCCUUCAAAGCCUUAAAUGAGAUAUUUAAUUCUCAAAUUCUG